CCUACGGGGCGCUGCAGUGGGGAAUAUUGGACAAUGGGCGAAAGCCUGAUCCAGCCAUGCCGCGUGUGUGAAGAAGGCCUUCGGGUUGUAAAGCACUUUCAGUGGGGAAGAAAGCCUUGGGGCUAAUACCCUCGAGGAUGGACAUCACCCACAGAAGAAGCACCGGCUAACUCCGUGCCAGCAGCCGCGGUAAUACGGAGGGUGCGAGCGUUAAUCGGAAUUACUGGGCGUAAAGCGCGCGUAGGCGGUCUGAUAAGCCGGUUGUGAAAGCCCCGGGCUCAACCUGGGAACGGCAUCCGGAACUGUCAGGCUAGAGUGCAGGAGAGGAAGGUAGAAUUCCCGGUGUAGCGGUGAAAUGCGUAGAGAUCGGGAGGAAUACCAGUGGCGAAGGCGGCCUUCUGGACUGACACUGACGCUGAGGUGCGAAAGCGUGGGUAGCAAACAGGAUUAGAUACCCGAGUAGUC
rnacentral:rRNA from 1 species